UACGAAGGGGGCUAGCGUUGCUCGGAAUCACUGGGCGUAAAGGGUGCGUAGGCGGGCGAGUAAGUCAGUGGUGAAAUCUCCGGGCUUAACCCGGAAACUGCCAUUGAUACUAUUUGUCUUGAAUACUUUGGAGGUAAGCGGAAUAUGUCAUGUAGCGGUGAAAUGCUUAGAUAUGACAUAGAACACCGAUUGCGAAGGCAGCUUACUGCACAGUGAUUGACGCUGAGGCACGAAAGCGUGGGGAUCAAACAGG
rnacentral:rRNA from 1 species